GGGCUGUGAUGAGUUUUAAAAUCUGUCAAUCCCCUGACCAGAGUGAUGUGACCUAGUCUCUGAGCUC
rnacentral:snoRNA from 1 species